AACGACCAGACAUGUGGUUAUUGGGUGAGUUGUUGCUCAAAUUUUUUAGUUAAAAAGUAACAACAAUAUAUGAAAUUUGAGAUCUAAAAUGUGGCUCUUAUUCCAACAGGAGACCGUGGAUAUCCUUGCACCCCCUGGCUCAUGACUCCUUACCGUAAUCCCAGGCCAGGACCACAGAUGGCAUUUAACUCCGCGCUUACUGCCACUAGGCAGCUGGUGGAGCGCACAAUUGGUGUCCUGAAAGGGCGCUUUCGUGUGCUCCACCGCACGGGUGGCGACAUCAUGUAUUCGCCGGAGAUGGCAAGUAAAAUAGUGGUCCUGUGCGCAAUACUCCAUAAUAUCGCGGUAAGGAGUAGUGUUGAGCUUCCUCAGGCAGAGGAAUUGCCUGAUGAGGAGCCAGGGGUUGUGCCACGCUUCGGUGGGGGGAGUGUGACACGGAGGGGGAGCCAAGUGAGGGCAAGAAUCGUAGCAGAACAUUUCAGCUGAAUGAUCACACGACCUGUGGACAACAACAACGGCACAACUCCCCACCCCCUUCCCCUUCCCACUCACCCUCCCCUUCUCACUCCCCCUCCCCUUCUCAUUCCCCCUCCCCUUCUCACUCCCCCUCCCCUUCACAGUCCCCCUCCCCUUCUCACUCCCCCUCCCCUUCACAGUCCCCCUCAGCUUCCCAGUCCCCAUCAUCUUCCCAGUCCACCUCAUCUUCCAAGGCCCCCUCAUCUUCCCUGGCCCACUCCACUUUCCAUUCCCCUUCUCACCACACCUCUCCAUCUCUUUCUGGGACCCCUUCUCCUCCUUCCCAUACCCCUUCUCCUUCAUCUUCGUCAUCCCCAUCUGAACCCCCCUCACCCUCUAUUGCCUUACAUUUCUCUCCACCCCCCUCGCCCUCGCAAUCAGACCCCCCCUCUGAAAUUGUUGCUCCAAUCCAGCCUCCUUCCCCAAUCCCUCCUCCUUCCCCAAUCCCUCCUCCUUCCCCAAUCCAUCCUCCUUCCCCAAUCCCUCCUCCUUCCCCAAUCCCUCCUCCUUUCACCAUCCCUCAGCCGGCUUCACCGAUCAUGCCAAGCUCACCACCCAGUGAAUGGGCACAGGAAGCCCCUGACGAACAUUCCGGGAGUCAGGAUGUUGCCGUGGAAAAUGUUGCCGUUGGAGAUCCAACAUCCUUGCAGGAUAUAGUUUGCAGUAUGAGGCGCCAUCUCCAGGCCUUGGUGGGGCUUUUGGACGCCAUGCAAAAAUUUUGUUAAUUUUAUGAUUAUAAUUAAAAAUAUUAUAAAAAAUGAUAAUAUCAGUAUUCCACUUUUAAAAAAAAAUAAACUAAUA